AUGAGAUGCCACAAAAUCCCAU
rnacentral:siRNA from 1 species